GAUGAACGCUGGCGCCGUGUCUAAUACAUGCUAGUCGAGCGAACAGACGAGGAGCUUGCUCCUCUGAUGUUAGCGGCGGACGGGUUAGUAACACGUGGAUAACCUACCUAUAAGACUGUGAUAACUUCGGGAAACCGGAGCUAAUACCCGAUAAUAUAUCGAACCGCAUGUUUCAAUAGUGAAAGACGGUUUUCCUGUCACUAACAGAUGGACCCGCGCCGCAUUAGCUAGUUGGUAAGGUAACGGCUUACCAAGGCAACGAUUCGUAGCCCACCUGAGAGGGUGGUCGGCCACACUGGAACUUAGACACGCACCAGACUCCUACGGGAGGCAUCAGUAGGGAAACUGCAGCAAAGGGCGAAAGCGUGAGGGAGCAACACGGCGUGAGUGAUGAAGGUCUUACGAUGGUAAGACUCUGUUAAUAGGGAAGAACUAAUGUGUAAUUAACUAUGCACGUCUUGACGGUACCUAAUCAGAAAGCCACGGCUAACUGCGUG
rnacentral:rRNA from 1 species